rnacentral:rRNA from 1 species
CGCGCUGAACGCGGCCGUCGAGGCGGCGCGCGCGGGCGAGCAGGGCCGCGGCUUCGCCGUUGUCGCAUCGGAGGUGCGCAGCCUCGCGCAGCGCUCGGCGACAGCCGCGCGCGAAAUCAAGGAGCUGAUCGGCGGCUCGGUCGUGCAGGUCGAGGCCGGCGACCGUCUCGCGAAGGAAGCGGGCGCGACGAUGCACGAAGUCGUCGAGAGUAUCCGGCGCGUGACGCUGAUCAUGGCCGAGAUCACGCGCGCGAGCGAGCAGCAGACGAGCGGCAUCGUCGAGAUCGAUCGCGCGAUCACGCAGAUGGAUCAGGUCACGCAGCAGAACGCCUCGCUCGUCGAGGAGGCGGCCGCCGCGGCCGAAUCGAUGCGCGAGCAGUCCGCCGCGCUCGUGCGCGCGGUGCGCGUGUUCAAGCUGGAUGCGUAUCCGGCCGUAGCGUCGAGCCGCGCCGCACCGCCCGCGCGGCCUGCGCGGCCUGCGCGCGUCGCGAGCUUCGACGCCGGGGCGAGCGUGGCCGCGCAUGCCGCGCCGCGACUGGCGCGCAUCGCGCCCUGAGCGCAGCCGAAGGCUGCGUCACAUGAGCGUGCCUUGGCGGGCCUUCGGCUGUUUCUCGGCUGUUUGCCGGUGGUUUGCCAAAAAUGUGCCGGUAGUUUGUCGGCCGUCUGCCGGCCGUGUGCGGCGACGCCGCCCGCCGGCCGCGCCGCCCGUCCAUCGCAAGGAAUCCCGAUCAUGUCAGCUUCAUCGCCUUCGCGUGCGCGGCCGGGCGCACGCCCGCACGACGGCGCGCCCGCGCCCGUGCGCGACGCGUGUCCGGCACCGCGCCGGGACGCGUCAGCGCCGGAGAAUCUCUUCUGGCACGCCGGGCGCGUCGCCGCCGACGCGCGCUCGACCCAGUUCGGCCGCCCGCCGCUCACGCUGUGGCUCACCGGCCUGAGCGGCGCGGGCAAGUCGACGCUCGCGGGCGAACUGGAGCGGUUGCUGCUGCGCGAUCGAUGGCCGUGCGCGGUGCUCGACGGCGAUAACCUGCGCCACCGGUUGAACCGCGAUCUCGGCUUCGGCGCGGAAGAUCGCCACGAGAACAUCCGGCGCACCGCCGAGGUCGCGCGGCUGAUGAACGGCGUCGGGCUCGUCGUCAUCGCUUCGCUGAUCUCGCCGUUUCGCGACGAUCGCGCGAUGGCGCGCGAGAUCGUGGGCAGCGACUGGUUCAGCGAGGUUUACGUGAGCACGCCGCUCGACGAAUGCGAGCGGCGCGAUCCGAAAGGGCUGUAUCGCAAGGCGCGCGGCGGCCUGCUGCCGAACUUCACCGGCGUGUCCGCGCCGUACGAACCGCCGGUAUCCGCCGAUCUCGCGAUCGACACCACGCGGCUGUCGGUCGCCGCCGCUGCGG